rnacentral:misc_RNA from 1 species
CAACCCUCAAGCUCUGCUUGGUAUUGGGCACCGCCCUUCUUCGGGCGCGCCUCAAAGACCUCGGCGGUGGCUGUCUUGCCUCAAGCGUAGUAGAAUACACCUCGCUUCGGAGCGCAGGGCGUCGCCCGCCGGACGAACCUUCUGAACUUUUCUCAA